rnacentral:lncRNA from 1 species
UUGCUGACUAUGCCUCCUUCGUCUUCCACUCUUUUGGGGACCUAGUUAAGAUCUGGUUCACUUUUAGUGACUUGGAGGAGGUGAUAACAGAACUUCCCCACCAGGAAUCAAGAGCGUCACAUCUCCAGAUCCUCGCUGAGGCCCAUAGAAAAGCCUAUGAAAUUUACCACGAAAAAUAUUCUUCUCAAGGAGGAAAGCUCUCUGUGGUCCUACGAGCUGAAGCAGUCUCCCAGCUCCUGCCAGAACCGUCCACGCCUGUCCUUGCCAAGGAUGCAGUCGACUUCCUCUCUCUUGAUUUGUCUUCUGAAUGUCAAGAAAGUGAGACAAGUUU